rnacentral:rRNA from 1 species
CGCCUGGGGAGUACGGGUGAGGUAACGGCUCACCAAGGCAUCGACGGGUAGCUGGUCUGAGAGGAUGAUCAGCCACACUGGGACUGAGACACGGCCCAGACUCCUACGGGAGGCAGCAGUAGGGAAUAUUGCACAAUGGGCGAAAGCCUGAUGCAGCAACGCCGCGUGCGGGAAGAAGGCCCUAGGGUUGUAAACCGCUUUCAGCAGGGAAGAAAAUGACAGUACCUGCAGAAGAAGGUGCGGCCAACUACGUGCCAGCAGCCGCGGUGACACGUAGGCACCAAGCGUUGUCCGGAUUUAUUGGGCGUAAAGAGCUCGUAGGCGGUUCAGUUAGUCGGGUGUGAAAACUCUGGGCUCAACCCAGAGACGCCACUCGAUACUGCUGUGACUAGAGUGCGGUAGGGGAGCGGGGAAUUCCUAGUGUAGCGGUGAAAUGCGCAGAUAUUAGGAGGAACACCAGUGGCGAAGGCGCCGCUCUGGGCUGUAACUGACGCUGAGGAGCGAAAGCGUGGGUAGCAAACAGGAUUAGAUACCCUGGUAGUCCACGCCGUAAACGUUGGGCACUAGGUGUGGGUCUCAACCAACGAGAUCCGCGCCGUCGCUAACGCAUUAAGUGCCCCGCCUGGGGAGUACGG